rnacentral:rRNA from 1 species
GGCCAGACUCCUACGGGAGGCAGCAGUGAGGAAUAUUGGUCAAUGGGCUUACGCCUGAACCAGCCAAGUCGCGUGAGGGAAGACUGCCCUAUGGGUUGUAAACCUCUUUUGUCAGGGAGCAACGCCGGCUACGUGUAGCCGGACUGAGAGUAUCUGAAGAAAAAGCAUCGGCUAACUCCGUGCCAGCAGCCGCGGUAAUACGUAGGGGGCAAGCGUUAUCCGGAUUUACUGGGUGUAAAGGGUGCGUAGGUGGCAUGGCAAGUCAGAAGUGAAAGCCCGGGGCUCAACCCCGCGGACUGCUUUUGAAACUGUCAGGCUGGAGUACAGGAGAGGUAAGCGGAAUUCCUAGUGUAGCGGUGAAAUGCGUAGAUAUUAGGAGGAACACCAGUGGCGAAGGCGGCUUACUGGACGGUAACUGACACUGAGGCACGAAAGCGUGGGGAGCAAACAGGAUUAGAUACCCCUGUACUA